GAAAAUUUAGUUAAAAAAUAACAUUAGCUUGUCACGCUAAAAUCGCCCCUCGAGGCAUUUUUCU
rnacentral:tRNA from 1 species